rnacentral:rRNA from 1 species
GACGAACGCUGGCGGCGUGCUUAACACAUGCAAGUCGAACGGAAAGGCCCUGCUUUUGUGGGGUUCUCGAGUGGCGAACGGGUGAGUAACACGUGAGUAACCUGCCCUUGACUUUGGGAUAACUUCAGGAAACUGGGGCUAAUACCGGAUAGGAGCUCCUGCAGCAUGGUGGGGGUUGGAAAGUUUCGGCGGUUGGGGAUGGACUCGCGGCUUAUCAGCUUGUUGGUGGGGUAGUGGCUGACCAAGGCUUUGACGGGUAGGCGGCCUGAGAGGGUGAACGGGCACCAUGGGCCUGAGGUACGGACCAGUGUGGUACGGGCGGCAGCAGUGGGGAACAUUGCACAAUGGGCGCAAGCCUGAUGCAGCGGCGCCGCGUGCGGGAUGCCGGCCUUCGGGUUAUAAACAGCUUUCGCCUGUGACGAAGCGUGAGUGACGGUACUGAGUAAAGAAGCACCGGCUAACUACGUG